rnacentral:misc_RNA from 1 species
GAUGAAGAACGUAGCGAAAUGCGAUAAGUAAUGUGAAUUGCAGAAUUCAGUGAAUCAUCGAAUCUUUGAACGCACAUUGCGCCCGCUAGUAUUCUGGCGGGCAUGCCUGUUCGAGCGUCAUUUCAACCCUCAAGCCCUGCUUGGUGUUGGGGAUCGGCGUUGCCUCCUCCGUCGUUCGCGGCGGGGUGAGGUCGCCGCCCCCGAAAUGAAUUGGCGGUCUCGUCGCAGCUUUCCUUUGCGUAGUAACAUACCACCUCGCAACCAGGAGCGCGGCGCGGCCACUGCCGUAAAACGCCCAACUUUUUCAAGAGUUGACCUCGAAUCAGGUAGGAAUACCCGCUGAACUUAAGCAUAUCAAUAAGCGGAGGA